GACGAACGCUGGCGGCGUGCCUAAUACAUGCAAGUCGAGCGCAGGAAAUCGACGGAACCCUUCGGGGGGAAGUCGACGGAAUGAGCGGCGGACGGGUGAGUAACACGUAAAGAACCUGCCCUCAGGUCUGGGAUAACCACGAGAAAUCGGGGCUAAUACCGGAUGGGUCAUCGGACCGCAUGGUCCGAGGAUGAAAGGCGCUUCGGCGUCGCCUGGGGAUGGCUUUGCGGUGCAUUAGCUAGUUGGUGGGGUAAUGGCCCACCAAGGCGACGAUGAAUAGCCGACCUGAGAGGGUGAUCGGCCACACUGGGACUGAGACACGGCCCAGACUCCUACGGGAGGCAGCAGUGGGGAAUCUUCCACAAUGGACGAAAGUCUGAUGGAGCAACGCCGCGUGAACGAUGAAGGCCUUCGGGUCGUAAAGUUCUGUUGUAAGGGAAGAACAAGUGCCGCAGGCAAUGGCGGCACCUUGACGGUACCUUGCGAGAAAGCCACGGCUAACUACGUGCCAGCAGCCGCCGUAA
rnacentral:rRNA from 1 species